rnacentral:rRNA from 1 species
CCUACGGGAGGCAGCAGUAGGGAAUCUUCCGCAAUGGACGAAAGUCUGACGGAGCAACGCCGCGUGAACGAUGAAGGCCUUCGGGUCGUAAAGUUCUGUUGUUAGGGAAGAACAAGUGCUAGUUAAAUAAGCUGGCACCUUGACGGUACCUAACCAGAAAGCCACGGCUAACUACGUGCCAGCAGCCGCGGUAAUACGUAGGUGGCAAGCGUUGUCCGGAAUUAUUGGGCGUAAAGCGCGCGCAGGCGGUUUCUUAAGUCUGAUGUGAAAGCCCCCGGCUCAACCGGGGAGGGUCAUUGGAAACUGGGAAACUUGAGUGCAGAAGAGGAAAGUGGAAUUCCAAGUGUAGCGGUGAAAUGCGUAGAGAUUUGGAGGAACACCAGUGGCGAAGGCGACUUUCUGGUCUGUAACUGACGCUGAGGCGCGAAAGCGUGGGGAGCAAACAGGAUUAGAUACCCUGGUAGUCCACGCUGUAAACGAUGAGUGCUAGGUGUUAGAGGGUUUCCGCCCUUUAGUGCUGAAGUUAACGCAUUAAGCACUCCGCCUGGGGAGUACGGUCGCAAAGCUGAAACUUAAAGGAAUUGACGG